rnacentral:rRNA from 1 species
AUUGAACGCUGGCGGCAUGCCUUACACAUGCAAGUCGAACGGCAGCGCGGACUUCGGUCUGGCGGCGAGUGGCGAACGGGUGAGUAAUAUAUCGGAACGUACCCAAGAGUGGGGGAUAACGUAGCGAAAGUUACGCUAAUACCGCAUACGAUCUAUGAAUGAACGCAGGGGACCGCAAGGCCUUGUGCUCCUGGAGCGGCCGAUAUCUGAUUAGCUAGUUGGUGGGGUAAAGGCCCACCAAGGCAUCGAUCAGUAGCUGGUCUGAGAGGACGACCAGCCACACUGGAACUGAGACACGGUCCAGACUCCUACGGGAGGCAGCAGUGGUGAAUUUUGGACAAUGGGGGCAACCCUGAUCCAGCAAUGCCGCGUGAGUGAAGAAGGCCUUCGGGUUGUAAAGCUCUUUUGUCAGGGAAGAAAAGGCUGUGGCUAAUAUCCAUGGCUCAUGACGGUACCUGAAGAAUAAGCACCGGCUAACUACGUGCCAGCCGCCGCAGUAA